GAUGAACGCUGGCGGCGUGCUUAAUACAUGCAAGUCGAACGGAGACAGUAGCAAUAUUGUCUUAGUGGCGAACGGGUGAGUAACGCGUUGGUGACCUGCCCCGAAGAGGGGGAUAACAGUCCGAAAGGAUUGCUAAUACCCCAUGUGGUCAUUUGGAUUAGAUGCCUUAUGACUAAACGGAUUUAUUCGCUUCGGGAGGGGCCUGCGUCCCAUCAGCUAGUUGGUAAGGUAAUGGCUUACCAAGGCGAUGACGGGUAGGGGACCUGAGAGGGUGGCCCCCCA
rnacentral:rRNA from 1 species